rnacentral:rRNA from 1 species
CCUACGGGAGGCAGCAGUGAGGAAUAUUGGUCAAUGGGCGAGAGCCUGAACCAGCCAAGUCGCGUGAAGGAUGAAGGAUCUAUGGUUUGUAAACUUCUUUUAUAUGGGAAUAAAGUGAGGAACGUGUUCCUUUUUGUAUGUACCAUAUGACUAAGCAUCGGCUAACUCCGUGCCAGCAGCCGCGGUAAUACGGCGGAUGCGAGCGUUAUCCGGAUUUAUUGGGUUUAAAGGGUGCGUAGGUGGUUAAUUAAGUCAGCGGUGAAAGUUUGUGGCUCAACCAUAAAAUUGCCGUUGAAACUGGUUGACUUGAGUAUAUUUGAGGUAGGCGGAAUGCGUGGUGUAGCGGUGAAAUGCAUAGAUAUCACGCAGAACUCCGAUUGCGAAGGCAGCUUACUAAACUAUAACUGACACUGAAGCACGAAAGCGUGGGGAUCGAACAGGAUUAGAUACCCUAGUAGUC